UUAUGGACAUGAUGAAAGUGAUUGACGGGUGAUGAUCAACUCAUGUGAUCAAGAUAUCCUCGCUACGUUCUUUUUGAUUCCUGC